rnacentral:piRNA from 1 species
UAAUCUCACAAAAAAAAUUUA